rnacentral:lncRNA from 10 species
UGAGAUGGAGUCUUACACUGUCACCCAGGCUGGAUGCAGUGGCGUGAUCUCAGCUCACUGGAACCUCCGCCUCCCAGGUUCAAGCGAUUCUCCUGCCUCAGCCUCUUGAGUAGCUGGGAUUACAGGCGCCUGCCACCAUGCCCAGCUAAUUUUUGUAUUUUUAGUAGAGAUGGGGUUUCACCAUGUUGGCCAGGAUGGUCUCGAUCUCUUGACCUCGUGAUCCACCCACCUCGGCCUCCCAUAGUGCUGGGAUUACAGGCUUUGCUGAGAAUGAUGGUUUCCAGCUUCAUCCGUGUCCCUACAAAGGACAUGAACUCAUCAUUUUUUAUGGCUGCAUAGUAUUCCAUGGUGUAUAUGUGCCACAUUUUCUUAAUCCAGUCUAUCAUUGUUGGACAUUUGGGUUGGUUCCAAGUGUUUGCUAUUGUGAAUAGUGCUGCAAUAAACAUACGUAUGCAUGUGUCUUUAUAGCAGCAUGAUUUAUAAUCCUUUGGGUAUAUACCCAGUAAUGGGAUGGCUUACCCCAGCAACAUUUAUUGAAUAGGGAAGGGAGUCUUUUCACCAUUGCAUUUUUUUUAGUCAGACUACAGGUGCACGCCACCAUAUCCGGCUAAUUUUUGUAUUUUUUCGUAAAGACAGAGUUUCACUAUAUUGCCCAGGCUGGUCUCAAACUCUUGGGCUCAAGCAGUCCACCUACUUUUGCCUCCGAAAAUGCUAGUCAGCUUUUUUAGUUACCCUGAGAUUCAGUCUGCACUGAAAAGGCAGAAUGGAUGCUUAAUUCUUUCCUUUAUCAGUUUCAGAAUGAAUGAAGAGUUGCUGCCUUAGUAGCCUCCAAAGGUGACCCAUGACUUGGGCUUCUUUUUUUUCCUGAGUUAAGUUAUUGUGACUUCACAGAUAAUUGGAUAUUUCAUAUGUGCUAGGCCUUUGCAGCCAUGAUUUUCCUGCUUAAACUGUCCCAUCUUUAGCUAGUGGGAGCCUCUUUUUUAAGUUGGCCCAUAGGUUAUUCUGAUGUGACCUCAGUGGCUUUCAGACACCAUAAGGUGUGCCAGAUUUAUGUGUGUGCUUCCUGCUCCAGACCUGGAAUCAAAAUGUCUCUGGAUUUUUGAUUUCUAUUGGUGAGGAGUGGUAUUUAGAGAUUACAAUGUGAGUGUUAAUUGUUGCUGAUUUUUGGCACUACUUCUAGGCCUGUUCAGAAAAUACAUAUUUUUGGAAAGAAAAAAGAAA